rnacentral:rRNA from 1 species
AUUGAACGCUGGCGGCAUGCCUUACACAUGCAAGUCGAACGGCAGCACGGGAGCAAUCCUGGUGGCGAGUGGCGAACGGGUGAGUAAUACAUCGGAACGUGCCCAAUCGUGGGGGAUAACGCAGCGAAAGCUGUGCGUAAUACCGCAUAAGAUCUACGGAUGAAAGCAGGGGACCGCAAGGCCUUGCGCGAAUGGAGCGG